UAGGAUAUAAAUCAAUUAUCAAUUUACCUGAGUACUAUGAACAAAAGUUUAAAACUCAAAGAGCUUGGCGGUGUUUUAGACUCCUCAGGGGAAUCUGUCUCGUAAUCGACAGUCCACGAAAUACCUAACUUUGCUUAGUAAUCAGUAUGUAUACCGUCGUCGUCAGGUAACUUUUAAAAAUGAAAAAGUUAGCAACUAAAAAUAUAAUUUUAGACGUCAGAUCAAGGUGCAGCCUAUAGCAAAGAGCAGAUGGAUUACAAUUAACACUUAUAAACACGGAAGAAAAGUAGAAUUAUUUUUUGGAAGGCGGACUUGAAAGUAAAAAUUUAUAUAUAAGUUUUUUGAAUCGAGCUCUGAAACG
rnacentral:rRNA from 1 species